CCUACGGGAGGCAGCAGUGGGGAAUAUUGGACAAUGGGCGAAAGCCUGAUCCAGCCAUGCCGCGUGUGUGAAGAAGGUCUUCGGAUUGUAAAGCACUUUAAGUUGGGAGGAAGGGCAGUUACCUAAUACGUGAUUGUUUUGACGUUACCGACAGAAUAAGCACCGGCUAACUCUGUGCCAGCAGCCGCGGCAAUACAGAGGGUGCAAGCGUUAAUCGGAAUUACUGGGCGUAAAGCGCGCGUAGGUGGUUAGUUAAGUUGGAUGUAAAAUCCCCGGGCUCAACCGGGAAACUGCAUUCAAAACUGACGGACUAGAGUAUGGUAGAGGGUGGUGAAAUUUCCUGUGUAGCGGUAAAAUGCGUAGAUAUAGGAAGGAACA
rnacentral:rRNA from 1 species